GACGUAGGGGGCCAGCGUUGCUCGGAAUUACUGGGCGUAAAGGGUCCGUAGGCGGUGCGGUAAGUCGGGAGUGAAAUCUCUGGGCUUAACUCAGAGGCUGCUUCCGAAACUACCGUGCUAGAGUGCGAGAGAGGCAAGUGGAAUUGCGGGUGUAGCGGUGAAAUGCGUAGAUAUCCGCAGGAACAUCCGAGGCGAAAGCGGCUGCUGGAUCGACAACUGACGCUGAGGGACGAAAGCUAGGGGAGCAAACAGG
rnacentral:rRNA from 1 species